AUGCCCUCUUUCCCCACCCUCUCCUCUGCUCAGUUUCUUCUGCUUUAUUUGAGGACCCCCCCAUUUGGUGCUUUAAUUUGUUGUGUUUCCUCUAUCGAUUGUUUAGCUGGUGAUUUUGCCAGCGUCCUGGAUGUUCGUUCUGGUCUGCACAGAAGAGUCACAUUUCCUCCUGGAAUCGGGACCAGGACACAGACAGACCCGCAGACACGGGAAACGCCAGAUUUGUAUCAAGUGAGCCCCUGCGAAUUGAUCCGGAGAAAAUAUGAACUCGUCUGUCUCAAGGACUGUGGUUCGCUAGCAGACAGAGAGAGCUAUUGGAUACGUGGAAACCAGAGAAAAUAAAAUUAGUGAUUCUGGAAAGAGGUUCAUUCAGAUUUAUGCAGGCCCAGGAAGGUGAGUGUAUUAGAAUUCGCAUAAACAAAGCUGCGUCACUUGGCACCUUGGCUUAGGGAUAAUUUAAUUACCCCACCUAUUAACGCUGAUUUAUGUUUCUGCUCCCGCCAACCUUCUUACGAUCUUGUUUAUUUCCAGAAAUCACUUUUGUGACAGCCCUAAUAGGCCAUUCAACUGGGAACGUUUUCUCAUUUAGUUGAAAAUAUUUCAGGUUUCAGACACACAACAAGGAAAAGCACUUUCAGACUUCAUGUAUGUGAAUAAUGUUUGGGGAGAGACUGUUUUAAGAAAAUGAAUUCAACCAGCAUAUUUGACCAAUUUCAGCCUAAAAUAUUAUGUUUCAAUUUGCCAAGCAGGUUGAUUGGACUUCAGCUGGCGCAAAGAUUCUGGGCUGUACUCUUUCUUUUUUCUCUGAUGGGAGGGCAGAGAGCGGCCUUGGUGCCGUCUUUGCACGUGGGUUUGUGGACGAGCACGGAGGUCUGCUUGCCGGCAAGCAUGUCGGGCUGAACACUUCCUGCUGGGAGUGAUGGCGCGCUGUUGCAGAUUUUGAGUCCUGUAUUUGUAAACUUUCUACUUUUUGUUUUUUGAGAAAGUCAAGUUUGAUCUGUGCCGGCAAAGGUGUGUUGGCGGGGGGAGUAUGUACGUCCCUCUUCACAGCUGAAUGCAAUCAAAACGCUUGUUUUAUGUUGUGUUUUGGUUAAAAGGUAAAAGAGGAGAGAAAAAGACACCCAAACAAACCAGAAGAUGCAGUUAGCUUGGAGUCGUCAGCCCUAAACAGACAGUGCCUGGAGUAAAGCCCAUGGGACACAAUGCAUUUUCUCUCCUGCUCCCCCACCACCCCGUGAAAUUCUUUGGAGGGAGACGGGGCAUCGUGGGGAUUGCAUUUAAGGGUCAGCUAACUUGUUUAAGCUGCAUGUCAGGAGAAAGAAGGCUGAGAUCCUUUGUGCAAACAAGCACUAGAAACUCAAAUCCCUGCCUGUCUCUCAGAAGCAGACCUGCAGGGUGUCUUCUGAGUGGUUUGGAGAAAUGAGGUUUGAGGCCACCUUUCAGUGGCCUUCAUCGCUGCCUCUGCACCGGAGGUGUCCGGGCAGGAGCUACGGGAGGCCCAAACAUUCCAGGCUGCUCUCCUCCAGGAAAGGGUCUGGGGAGCCCGGGGUGGGCCCGGGCUGCGGCGGAGGCUGGCUUGAUGAGGGGACGUGCCAUCCAUCCCAGAGCGGUGGGCUCGCCAGCACCCAGUCCCACAGCUCUGACGAUGCCAUGCUGCUGCCACAUCACACACACUCUUGGCACACUCUUCGAAGUCUAAUCUUGGACACUCAGUCGUAUGACAAAUUCCUAGUUUUUAUAAUUUUGUGAGUUGUCUCCCCAGCAGAGUCUGAGUGUCAUGAUCAUUCUGUACUUAGGAGAAGGUUGAUCUUUAUCCGGAGUCUGACCUUGCCAGGGGUUGCAUGGGAUAAGUGGGUGGUGCCUUCCAACGCCAUGAUGGGGUCGGAAACGUCAUUGUCCCCACUCGAGGACUGAGGAGUCUGAGUGGGUUUCCCAGGCAGCACAGCUCGUGUGCAGGGCUGGGGAGAACUGGGAUCUGAAUCCAGGCCAGGAGAUCUCAGCCCCCACGUUCUUAAGCAGUGGGAAUUCAGUAUUUGAGUGCUGGAGGGUGAGUGUGAGAGGCGGAGGUGAUGCCUGAGCCGAGGGUUUAGGUGGGUUGAGUUCAAAUAGGGCUCUGCCCUCACUCACCAGGGACCCUUGGGGAGUCUUUACAUUUCCCGAGCCUUGGUUUCCUCCUGCAUAAAAUGUAGCUGGUGAUCUUUCUUUUUCAGGUUGGGAGGAUUUGAGAUGGCGAAUGAAAAGACUGGGCCCUUAGCAUGUGCCGGAUGGAGGAGGGUUGGGUCAUGGCCUUCUGCGGGCCAGUUCCUGGAGCCCAGGAACAAAGGGGCACGGGGGCCUCCUGGCAUCACAUCUUGGCCUCCUGUGACUGGGGCCACCCUAGGUGAGUCUCUUAAAUUGCUGGUCUUGCUUUUCUUUCCCAAUCCAGCUCCUGCCUCAAAGGCUUAAAGAGGGAGGGAAAGCUCAGCUGUAAUAAAUACGAAACGGGGGUCUGCUGGGCGUCCCCC
rnacentral:lncRNA from 1 species